rnacentral:rRNA from 1 species
UGGCGGUGAAUUAUUCUUUCUAGAGGAACCUGUUUUUUAAAUGAAAUUACACAAUUAUAAUUCUGAUUUUAGUUUAUAUACCGUUGUUGACAAAAUUAAAUUAAUAAUUUAAUUUAAUAUAUUAAAAUAAAUGUAAUUCAAAUCAAGGUUUAGCUUAUAAAUUAGUUUCAAAUGGGUUACACUAAAAACUCGGUUAAAAAGAUGGAUUUAGGAGUAAUUUAUUUUAAUAUUUUUUAUUUGAAUAAAGUUGUAAUUC